CCUACGGGAGGCAGCAGUGAGGCAUAUUGGUCAAUGGACGCAAGUCUGAACCAGCCAUGCCGCGUGCAGGAAGACGGCUCUAUGAGUUGUAAACUGCUUUUGUACGAGGGUAAACGCAGAUACGCGUAUCUGUCUGACAGUAUCGUACGAAUAAGGAUCGGCUAAAUCCGUGCCAGCAGCCGCGGUAAAACGGAGGAUUCAAGCGUUAUCCGGAUUUAUUGGGUUUAAAGGGGGCGGAGGCGGUCGGAUAAGUUAGAGGUGAAAUCCCGAGGUUAAACUUCGGAAUUGCCUCUGAUACUGUUCGGCUAGAGAGUAGGUGCGGUAGGCGGAAGGUAUGGUGUAGCGGUGAAAUGCUUAGAGAUCAUACAGAACACCGAGUGCGAAGGCAGCGUACCAAGCUACUUCUGACGUUGAGGCACGAAAGCGUGGGGAGCAAACAGGAUUAGAUACCCGAGUAGUC
rnacentral:rRNA from 1 species